AAUUACAAAACAAACCAUUAGCAGACAAAGAAACAGUAA
rnacentral:misc_RNA from 1 species